UGGAAUUCCCAUAGCUCUGAUGUUGCAAACAGCUGUGUUCUCACAGGCAGCAAACUAAAACAUGGGACAACAGGACAGAAGGAGAUCUGGAGGCAGCCUGUCUGUACCAAUGCUCAAGACAGCCUCAGAAAGCAAACUGGGCUGUAUUGGUUACUGGACCCUCAAAUCCAUUUCUGCUGCAUAGCUAGGCAGCUUCCUGGAAAAGAGAACUUUAAAAACAUGAUCAGAAAACGCCCGGUCUGGAAUCAGGGUCUGAUGGCUGGAAUUAAUGAGCUGCACAUUUGA
rnacentral:lncRNA from 14 species